rnacentral:tRNA from 1 species
GCCAGUGUGGUAUAGUGGUUUGAGUGUUGAACUAGGACUCUAGAGACCAGGGUUUGAAUCCCUGUUCAGGAG